rfam:Scytonema millei VB511283 scaffold_267, whole genome shotgun sequence.
AGGAGCCGGAUGAGGUGAAAAUCUCACGUCCGGUUUUGAAGACGAGUCGCUCUGGCGACGGAGCGGCUUAGUUUAAC